rnacentral:rRNA from 1 species
GACCUACGGGGCGCAGCAGUGGGGGAUAUUGCACAAUGGGGGGAACCCUGAUGCAGCGACGCCGCGUGAGUGAAGAAGUAUUUCGGUAUGUAAAGCUCUAUCAGCAGGGAAGAAAAUGACGGUACCUGACUAAGAAGCCCCGGCUAACUACGUGCCAGCAGCCGCGGUAAUACGUAGGGGGCAAGCGUUAUCCGGAUUUACUGGGUGUAAAGGGAGCGUAGACGGCAUUGCAAGUCUGAUGUGAAAGAUUGGGGCUCAACCCCAGGCCUGCAUUGGAAACUGUAAAGCUGGAGUACAGGAGAGGU